rnacentral:tRNA from 1 species
GAGGAUAUAGCUCAGUGGUAGAGUAUAUGCUUAGCAUGCAUGAUGUCCUGGGUUCAAUCCCUAGUAACUCCA